rnacentral:rRNA from 1 species
AUUGAACGCUGGCGGCAGGCCUAACACAUGCAAGUCGAGCGAGCGGCGGACGGGUGAGUAAUGUAUGGGGACUGCCCGAUAGAGGGGGAUAACUACUGGAAACGGUGGCUAAUACCGCAUACUAUCGGAUAACCCAUAUGGAAUUAGCUAGUAGGUGGUGUAAAGGCUCACCUAGGCGACGAUCUCUAGCUGGUCUGGGAGGAUGAUCAGCAACAUGGGGAGUAAGCCACGGCCCAGACUCCUACGGGGGCAGCAGUGGGGAAUAUUGCACAAGGGGCGCAAGCCUGAUGCAGCCAUGCCGCGAGUAUGAAGAAGGCCUUAGGGUUGUAAAGUACUUUCAGCGGGGAGGCGUUACCCGCAGAAGAAGCACCGGCUAACUCCGAUCAAGCAGCCUCGGUAAUAC